AUUGAACGCUGGCGGCAGGCCUAACACAUGCAAGUCGAGCGAGCGGCGGACGGGUGAGUAAUGUCUGGGAAACUGCCUGAUGGAGGGGGAUAACUACUGGAAACGGUAGCUAAUACCGCAUACCGUCGGAUGUUCCCAGAUGGGAUUAGCUAGUAGGUAGGGUAACGGCUCACCUAGGCGACGAUCCCUAGCUGGUCUGAGAGGAUGACCAGCCACACUGGAACUGAGACACGGCCCAGACUCCUACGGGAGGCAGCAGUGGGGAAUAUUGCACAAUGGGCGCAAGCCUGAUGCAGCCAUGCCGCGUGUGUGAAGAAGGCCCUCGGGUUGUAAAGUACUUUCAGCGGGGAGGCGUUACCGGCAGAAGAAGCACCGGCUAACUCCGUGCCAGCAGCCGCGGUAAUAC
rnacentral:rRNA from 1 species